UACAGAGGGGGCAAGCGUUAUUCGGAAUUAUUGGGCGUAAAGGGCGCGUAGGCGGCCUGGCAAGUGGAAGGUGAAAUCCCUCGGCUUAACCGAGGAACUGCCCUCCAAACUGCUUGGCUUGAGUCCGGGAGAGGUGAGUGGAAUUCCCAGUGUAGCGGUGAAAUGCGUAGAUAUUGGGAGGAACACCAGUGGCGAAGGCGGCUACCUGGACCGGUUCUGACGCUGAUGCGCGAAAGCGUGGGUAGCAAACAGG
rnacentral:rRNA from 1 species